AACGAACGCUGGCGGCAUGCCUAACACAUGCAAGUCGAACGAGACCUUCGGGUCUAGUGGCGCACGGGUGCGUAACGCGUGGGAAUCUUCCCUUGGGUUUGGAAUAACAGUUGGAAACGACUGCUAAUACCGGAUGAUGACGUAAGUCCAAAGAUUUAUCGCCCAAGGAUGAGCCCGCGUAGGAUUAGCUAGUUGGUGAGGUAAAGGCUCACCAAGGCGACGAUCCUUAGCUGGUCUGAGAGGAUGAUCAGCCACACUGGGACUGAGACACGGCCCAGACUCCUACGGGAGGCAGCAGUGGGGAAUAUUGGACAAUGGGCGAAAGCCUGAUCCAGCAAUGCCGCGUGAGUGAUGAAGGCCUUAGGGUUGUAAAGCUCUUUUACCCGGGAUGAUAAUGACAGUACCGGGAGAAUAAGCUCCGGCUAACUCCGUG
rnacentral:rRNA from 1 species